rnacentral:rRNA from 1 species
CGGUUAGGAGCUUACACCCACCCGUGUUUACNUACUAUNGNUGCUUUGGCGGGCCGUGGCCUCCACUGCGGGCUCUGCUCGUGUGUGCCCGCCAGAGGACCAAACUCUGAAUGUUAGUGAUGUCUGAGUACUAUCUAAUAGUUAAAACUUUCAACAACGGAUCUCUUGGUUCUGGCAUCGAUGAAGAACGCAGCGAAAUGCGAUAAGUAAUGUGAAUUGCAGAAUUCAGUGAAUCAUCGAAUCUUUGAACGCACAUUGCGCCCUGUGGUAUUCCGCAGGGCAUGCCUGUUCGAGCGUCAUUUAACCACUCACGCCUAGCGUGGUAUUGGGGCACGCGGUCUCGCGGCCCUCAAAAUUAGUGGCGGCGCCGGUGGGCUCUAAGCGUAGUACAUACUCCCGCUAUAGAGUUCCCCCGGUGGCUCGCCAGAACCCCCAAUUUUUUACAGGUUGACCUCGGAUCAGGUAGGGAUACCCGCUGAACUUAAGCAUAUCAAUAAGCGGAGGAAAAGAAACCAACAGGGAUUACCUCAGUAACGGCGAGUGAAGCGGUAACAGCUCAAAUUUGAAAGCUGCCAACANGCCGCGUUGUAAUUUGUAGAAGCUGCUUUGGGUGUCGGCCCGGUCUAAGUUCCUUGGAACAGGACGUCAUAGAGGGUGAGAAUCCCGUAUGUGAUCGGUGCCGUUGCCCGUGUAAAGCGCUUUCGACGAGUCGAG